GUGGUUGCUUCAGCAGCACCUAUACUAAAAUUAGAACGAUACAGAGAAUAUUAGGAUAGCCCCUGCAUAAGAAUGACAUGUAAAUUCAUGAAGCGCUCCAUAUUUUN
rnacentral:snRNA from 1 species